rnacentral:tRNA from 1 species
GCGGCGCUAGUUCAGCGGCAGAAUACGACCUUCCCAAGGUUGGGAUGCGGGUUCGACCCCCGUGCGCCGCUCUA